rnacentral:rRNA from 1 species
UACGGAGGGNGCGAGCGUUAAUCGGAAUUACUGGGCGUAAAGCGCACGCAGGCGGUUUGUUAAGCUAGAUGUGAAAGCCCCGGGCUCAACCUGGGAUGGUCAUUUAGAACUGGCAGACUAGAGUCUUGGAGAGGGGAGUGGAAUUCCAGGUGUAGCGGUGAAAUGCGUAGAUAUCUGGAGGAACAUCAGUGGCGAAGGCGACUCCCUGGCCAAAGACUGACGCUCAUGUGCGAAAGUGUGGGUAGCGAACAGG